AGCCGAAACGGUCAGCAAUGACCGUCAUGCAAGGGGUGACUGCCUUGUGUCUGAUGAUGGCAGGUUAUC
rnacentral:hammerhead_ribozyme from 1 species